rnacentral:rRNA from 1 species
CCAGCAGCCGCGGUAAUUCCAGCUCCAAUAGCGUAUAUUAAAGUUGUUGCAGUUAAAAAGCUCGUAGUUGGAUUUCUGGCGAGGGGCAAUUGCGGCCGGCAUGGCAUGCAUGCGCCCCCUGCCAUCCUUCUGUUAACCCGGUAUGGCGUUUUUUCGCUGACCGGUGGCUCAGAUAUUUUACCUUGAGAAAAUUAGAGUGUUUCAGGCAGGCUUGGCCGGGAUACAUUAGCAUGGAAUAAUGGAAUAGGACUCCAGCCUCUUCUGUUGGUCUGAGGGGUUGAAGUAAUGAUUAAUAGGGAUAGUUGGGGGCAUUAGUACUUAACUGUCAGAGGUGAAAUUCUUGGAUUUGUUAAAGACUAACUUAUGCGAAAGCAUUUGCCAAGGAUGUUUUCAUUAAUCAAGAACGAAAGU